GAGCGCCGAGCCUCCGCUGCAGACCCAGCUCGCCGCCCUUCCCUCGCGCCCGCUCGAGCGGCGCGGAGCCCGGGGGAAACUUCGGCGCCGCCUUCUCUCGCUGCCGCCGCCGCCGGCCUCUGGACUCCUCGCGAAGUUCCCGCUGCUGGUCCUGCCUGCGUGCAGCGGAGGAGGAGGGAACGACGACGGGCGACGGGGUCGCCUCGGGGAGCCCUGAGGGCCUGUACGUUGCUGUUGCAUCAUCCUAUCUCCUGGUGGAAGAACUAAGAUUCAACUGAAAUUCUGAGUUAACCUGGCAAGAAAGGCUAAGGUAUGGGAUGGUAGUUCAAUUCAUUCUUUUAAGCCAGGCUUAAAGCUAGGGUCCUAUUUUGCUAUAUCAUCAGGAUAUAUCAAGAGAUAUCAGAAAGCAUUCAGUAUACUUUCUCAAGGAAUGUAUUUUCCUCUUCUUAUAUAUCUAUUGGGCUUGAAAUGAAAUGGGAUACUGCUUGUUAAAAAAAGGAGUCUUCUUGAUGUGAUCAGCUAAUAUGCUGGUGCAGUUUAGUACAUUGGCAGGAUGAAUAACAUGGCACUUCUUAGAUAAAUACAGCAGGCCUCCAGAGCAAGUAAGGCUUGUUGAACUCUGGAUCUGGUUAAU
rnacentral:lncRNA from 1 species